GACGAACGCUGGCGGCGUGCUUAACACAUGCAAGUCGAACGGAAAGGCCCUGCUUUUGUGGGGUGCUCGAGUGGCGAACGGGUGAGUAACACGUGAGUAACCUGCCCUUGACUUUGGGAUAACUUCAGGAAACUGGGGCUAAUACCGGAUAGGAGCUCCUGCUGCAUGGUGGGGGUUGGAAAGUUUCGGCGGUUGGGGAUGGACUCGCGGCUUAUCAGCUUGUUGGUGGGGUAGUGGCUUACCAAGGCUUUGACGGGUAGCCGGCCUGAGAGGGUGACCGGCCACAUUGGGAUUGAGAUACGGCCCAGACUCCUCCGGGAGGCAGCAGUGGGGAAUCUUGCACAAUGGGCGGAAGCCUGAUGCAGCAACGCCGCGUGCGGGAUGACGGCCUUCGGGUUGUAACCCGCUUUCGCCUGUGACGAAGCGUGAGUGACGGUAAUGGGUAAAGAAGCACCGGCUAACUCCGUG
rnacentral:rRNA from 1 species